AUAAGCACUUGAAAUUAGAUUGAUGUGUUGUAAGAGAGCGCUGAUAUCCCAACUCUGAGAUGCAUUUGUAGAAAUUAUUGCGGGUUUUGCCGUUUUUGAGGCGCUAGGUAAAGUGUCUGUGCAAAUGUUAGCGGAUAUCGCACAGCCUAUGGGGUGUCCAAACUUUGGCCCUUAUGUUGCUUUUUUGACAUUGCGCUUAACCCUCUUAAUUGGAGGGGAAGGCGAAAUGUCAAAAAAGUAACUUAAAGGGCCAAAUUGUAUGUUAUUUUUGACAUCAAUUCGCGGACCGGAAGUGGGGGGCCGGAAGCGGCCCGCAAGCUUGGACACCCCUGAUUUAAACAAUGUUAUGACAGAAAUAUGAGCUUCUAGACUUACUAGUUACAUAAAAUGAUUAUUUUCAGCCACAGAUUCCAAAUGAAUAUUUGAAUUAGCUUCAGUGCAUCUAUAUUCAAUAUCUGAUUCACUGUCCUCAGCUUUAAACAAACGCAGAGUUCAUCUCUGUCUGUGUGUCUGUGCUGAAUUGGACUUUUCCCACUUCUCUUUGUUGUGUCUCUGUCUUAACACCAGUAUUUUUAUGGUUAGGUAAAUUUGGUAGCUGUACAUGUCAACAUUUUAUUUUUUUUAUUCAGGUGUGUGAACAGUGGUUUAGAGGGUGCACAUCAGGACUGUUAAAAAACAGCGAUAUUUCAGUGGCUGCUGCUUAUACCACAGGCUAACACACUCUACAGAUCUCUGAUGGGCUCCUUCAACAAAGAUGUUUAGUAGAUGCUGGUCUGCAGUUUGAUGCUCAGCAUCUCCAAAGUGGACGGUGAUAUGAUGGUGACCCGGGCUGCCACCUUUGGUCUUGUGAGGAAGCAAAGCUCAGGAAGAAGGAAUCCCUGCAGUCCUGUCCUUUUAGCUCCAAGCAUCACCCUUACAUAAGUCAUGAAUAUGGGUAAUUAGAGCUUUAAUCCAAGAGGAAGCAGAGCAGCAGACAGUUUGAGGGGUUUGGGCUCACAGAUGGUGACAACAUGGAGAGACUGUGGUGCUUCCCCUGAAGAACUGCAGGAGUCACAGAGGAGAUGACUCCAUCUCACUGUCUGGACUUGCUGACUGAUGUUCUUCUGCACUGCAGAUGCUGACUGUGACCUCAGAGGCCAUCUGGUCUGUAGAGUUAGAAGUGAAUCAAGGCAGAGGGCAGUCUGCCUGCAGCUUAAGAAAAAAACAUCCAGACUCAGAUGGGCAGGAUCUCAGCAUCAGACUGUCCAAACAGGCGCCAGCUUCAACAGCAGACUGAGACAGCCAACAAGAGAAAACAGCAGCUUCAGUGGGCUCCACAGGUCAAAGGUAACGUUUCAAGGGGUCUUCAGAGAGGAGGGACUGAUGUCCUGCAUCGAUCACAGCGAUUAUGAAGAUGACAGUGAGAGCAGCUACGACUGUAAAAGUCUGACCACGACUGUUUUGCUGCUUCCUGAUUAUUAAUGAAUAUUAUGAGCAUGUUUGUGUCUUUUGUCGUUAAUUCUUUUGUCGUCAUUUCAAUUCACCAAACUCAGUUUGUGUUAUUUAAUUUUUACAGGCCACACUCACUGCACAUAAGAAAACACUCAUUUUAAUCACUGAUGACUCAGUGACUUUAUAAAAGCUUUUAGUAGUCCAGCCUUUGACUGUUAACACUUACCAUAUUGUACCUGUACAGCAUGGUUUUGUGCAUGUAUGAGAUGUUUUUUAAUGUUGAAGUCAUUUCCUGAUUUAGUUUGUGAUCUUUGUUGGUUUUCUCUGCUUUGGAACUGAUUGUGAGUCAGUGUGUAACCUCACCUGUUUCCCUUUGUUCCACAUGACUUUUUUGAUUUCUGUUUAUUUAAAUUUCUGUUUCAUUUUGAUCUGUGUUGUGCUCUUAUGCUAUUGAUAAUACUAUCAGUCAAAUUCAUGUACAAUUUUUAUUGUUUUUACAUAUAAAACUGGAUUAGAGGUGGUGACCAUAAGCAUACCAAAAAAUGACAAUUUACAAUAGAACAUGAAUUACUGGUCUGUCAUCAUAAAUAAUGAGCCUAAUCCUCUCAUCAGUGUCACAUUGUUCUUCCAAGUCUUCACAACGUUAAGCUUUUUGUUUGUUUAUAUUUUCCCUUUUAUUUUAUAAUCAAAACUGCGACCAGAACGACUCUCCUUCUCAGACUAAUAAUACUGGCAGUCCAGGGCGUGACUGUAUGCUGAGCUAGGGUUAGGGUUAAUAAUUCAGACUCUAAAUGUCAUCAAUAUUACUCUUGCUGAAUCCAACAAAUAUGUUGGAAAUUGCAUAAUAAGUGGAUUAUUAUUUAAUAUCCAUAUUGAUUAUCAGUCUUCAUUUUCACCAUUGAUCCACCCAGGGUCUCGGUGGGGAUGGGCUCUAUCCUGGGAUCCUUGGGUGAAAGUUAUGUUGCACCCUCCAGGUCUGCAGCCCAUCAGUCAUAUCUAACAUUUGGUUCAAGAUUAUAAAUAAUUAAAAAAUCAAAGCAGGCUCCUUGCAUGGAAAUGAUGAGCUGGCAGUGAUCAUUCUUUGACUUUUCUCCACCUGCUUCAUCAAACCUCAGCAGUAAACAUAUAUGAAAGUAGCAGGCCCGUUAAGCUUCUGCGUCUGGAGAGGUAGUCACGAAACUGGGAAAUUGAUUCUCCCACCAGGUCCCUGUACAGCAUGUUAACCUACAGUAGAAACAGUAAAAGUGCUUGAAAAUGUUUCAUUUCUCAGAUAAAAAGCUACAUUUACAAGCGAAACCCAAGCAAGUGGGCAGCAGAAUAUUAAAGACGAUUUAAAAAAUCGUCAACUGUCUUACCAAGGUAAUAAUGCUUUAAUGGUUUGGUUAAUAUGAUCAAUAUGCAACUAUGACAUUGAGCAGCUGCCAUAACUGUUAAUACAAG